rnacentral:tRNA from 1 species
UGCUGCGGGGCGGCGGGAGCGUGCGGCGGCUGGGGGCUGCCGGUCUCCGGCGCCGGGUCGAUGCCGGCCGCCGUGCC